rfam:Dipodomys ordii contig_12741, whole genome shotgun sequence.
GGGAAUGUGGCUCAGUGGUAGAGUGCUUGCCUUGCAUGCAUGAGGGCUGGGUUUGAUUCCUCAGCACCA